AACGAACGCUGGCGGCGUGCUUAACACAUGCAAGUCGAACGCGAAAGGGACUUCGGUCCUGAGUAAAGUGGCGCACGGGUGAGUAACGCGUGGAUAAUCUGCCCCUCAGUUGGGAAUAACUCACCGAAAGGUGGGCUAAUACCGAAUAAUGCGGCACAAUAUAGGUUGUGCCGCCAAAGAUAGCCUCUGCUUGCAAGCUUUCGCUGAAGGAUGAGUCCGCGUACCAUUAGCUUGUUGGUAGGGUAAUGGCCUACCAAGGCGACGAUGGUUAGCUGGUCUGAGAGGAUGAUCAGCCACACUGGAACUGAGACACGGUCCAGACACCUACGGGUGGCUG
rnacentral:rRNA from 1 species